GCGGGGAGCGCCAGAUCUUGGGCUCUGUCCCCAGUGCCCUUGGCUCCGGGGCCUGUACCGCUGGAAUCGUGCUCUCUGGGCCGGGCAGCCCCCU
rnacentral:pre_miRNA from 1 species